AAAAAGAUAAGCUAAUUUAAGCUAUUGGGUUCAUACCCCGCUUAUAAAGGUUAUACUCCUUUUCUUUUUA
rnacentral:tRNA from 1 species